UACGAACGCUGGCGGCAUGCCUAACACAUGCAAGUCGAACGAGACCUUCGGGUCUAGUGGCGCACGGGUGCGUAACGCGUGGGAACCCGCCCUUAGGUUCGGAAUAACGCCUCGAAAGGGGUGCUAAUACCGGAUAAUGUCUUCGGACCAAAGAUUUAUCGCCUUUGGAUGGGCCCGCGUUGGAUUAGCUAGUUGGUGGG
rnacentral:rRNA from 1 species